GGUUAUUCUACAAGAACUCAAAGCAAUCUCAGCAUAUGGACACAUUGAUUUACAUGAACAUUUCUGAGCUAUUCCAUAGGACGAUGAUCAUGAUUCUAGGGCGGACCUGUGCCUUAGAGCCUAAAAAUGAAGUUUGAACUAGCUUAAUUAUGUUUUGAAUAUCCGUACUCUCUUUCCAAGACAAUGUAACACCUUUGUUUAUAAAUAAAAUACAACUUGUAUGC
rnacentral:lncRNA from 1 species